AUCCCCAUCUUACACUAGGGCUUCCUGUGAGUGGAAAGGUCUGGUUUUCAAUGGGGUAUAAUAAAUUACUUUCUUCCCUCCCUACUGGAUACUGUUCCUUUCAGGGCCUACAGACGAGUGCACAUU